rnacentral:rRNA from 1 species
GUCGACAACCUGGUUGAUCCUGCCAGUAGUCAUAUGCUUGUCUCAAAGAUUAAGCCAUGCAUGUCUCAGUGCACGCCUUUANACGGUGAAACCGCGAAUGGCUCAUUAAAUCAGCUAUGGUUUAUUGGAUCGUACCCGUUAAAUGGAUAACUGUAAUAACUCUAGAGCUAAUACAUGCCACGAAGCCCUGACCCUUUUGGGAAUGGGUGCACUUAUUAGAUCAGAAGCCAACCACGUAUUGCCGCAAGGUGGUGCGUGUUGUCCUUUUGGUGACUCUGGAUAAUUGUUACAGAUCGCAGUCGGCCUUGAGUCGGCGACGGGUCCUUCAAAUGUCUGCCCUAUCAACUUUCGAUGGUAGGUGACCUGCCUACCAUGGUGAUAACGGGUAACGGGGAAUCAGGGUUCGAUUCCGGAGAGGGAGCCUGAGAAACGGCUACCACUUCCAAGGGAGGCAGCAGGCGCGCAAAUUACCCACUCCCAGUACGGGGAGGUGGUGACGAAAAAUACCGAUGCGGGACUCCUUAAAGAGGCUCCGUAAUCGGAAUGAGUGAACUAUAAAUCCUUUCACGAGGAUCAAUUGGAGGGCAAGUCUGGUGCCAGCAGCCGCGGUAACUCCAGCUCCAAUAGCGUAUAUUAAAGUUGCUGCAGUUAAAAAGCUCGUAGUUGGAUCUCCGUAUCACUGUUGCCUGUCAGUAUUUGGGCAGUUAGCUGCUGGAGCAUAGGCGAAGCUUGUGUUUUCAUGGUUGACUAGUUCAAGCUGGCGUGGCGAUGGUGUCACCUUUCAGCCAUGUCUGUGGUGAAAUAUCCACAGGUGUAGGCGAGUGUCAGGCGGUGCUUUGCAACAGUAAGGUCCGUCGGCUCGUUUGCAUGCCUUUGGAUGCCCUUCAAAAGGUGUCUGUAGGCGGAUGGCACGUUUACUUUGAACAAAUUUGAGUGCUCAAACCAGGCCGAUGUUGCCUGAAAAGUUUUGCAUGGAAUAAUGGAAUAGGACUUCGGUUCUAUUUCGUUGGUUUUCGGAUCCGAAGUAAUGAUCAAAAGAGACAGGCGGGGACGUUUGUAUGGCUGCGCUAGAGGUGAAAUUCAUGGACCGUAGCCAGACAAACUAAAGCGAAAGCAUUCGUCAAGCAUGUUUUCAUUGACCAUGAGCGAAAGUCAGAGGCUCGAAGACGAUCAGAUACCGUCCUAGUUCUGACCAUAAACGAUGCCAACUGACGAUCCGUGGCGGUAGUAUAUAAACCUUCCCCACGGGCAGUCCCCGGGAAACCUUUAAGUCUUUGGGUUCCGGGGGAAGUAUGGUUGCAAAGCUGAAACUUAAAGGAAUUGACGGAAGGGCACCACCAGGAGUGGAGCCUGCGGCUUAAUUUGACUCAACACGGGAAAACUCACCCGGCCCGGACACUGUGAGGAUUGACAGAUUGAUAGCUCUUUCUUGAUUCAGUGGUUGGUGGUGCAUGGCCGUUCUUAGUUGGUGGAGCGAUUUGUCUGGUUAAUUCCGAUAACGAACGAGACUCCAGCCUGCUAAUUAGAGUAUUCGUCCACUGUUCCUGUGUAGGCGGCGUUCGACGUGACUGCUUCUGUUUGCUAGUUUAUGAGUACUGGCCUCGGUUGGUGCUUGUGUUCUAGUUUAGCAGAUAUGGUUGGCUCGUCGCUAGUCUCCGGGUACGGCGCGGAUGCUUACUUCUUAGAGGGACAAGCGGGAGAAGCCGCACGAAAUUGAGCAAUAACAGGUCUGUGAUGCCCUUAGAUGUCCGGGGCCGCACGCGCGCUACAAUGACGGUGCCAACGAGUCUGACCUUCUGGCCCGAAAGGGUUGGGCAAACUGGUCAAUCACCGUCAUGACAGGGAUCGGGGCUUGGAAUUGUUCCCCGUGAACGAGGAAUUCCUAGUAAGUGCAAGUCAUAAGCUUGCGCUGAUUACGUCCCUGCCCUUUGUACACACCGCCCGUCGCUACUACCGAUUGAAUGGUUUAGUAAGGUCAUUGGAUUGGCGCCAUUGUGGCGAUUACCGAAAGGUGGUCGUCCGACGUGUGCUGAGAAGACGACCAAACUUGAUCAUUUAGAGGAAGUAAAAGUCGUAACAAGGUUUCCCGUA